rnacentral:lncRNA from 1 species
UAAUUGUUUCUUUAACAUUCACCAAGGCCUUCUUGGUCAUUGCACCGACAGCUGGAGAUCCGAGGUGUUGAUCACUCAGCAUCGCCUCCUCCACGGUCACCUGAGAACAGAUUCCAGGACCCAGGGGAGGGUUGCGGCUAAUGAGCAGAAGCUCGAUGUCAGACUUCUGGAUCAUCGGACCCAGGGUCUCUGCCGGCCACUCUGAAUUAAGCGCUCCUGUUCACAGGCAGAUGGUGCAGACCGUGCCCCUGGGGCUCAGGCAGGUCCAGAGAGAGGAGAGAGCAGAGAGCAGGCCCCGGCCUUUUCUUGUAGUACUCUUGCCCCUCCGCCCCUCCGUCCCCCCGCCCCCACCACCUCCGGGUGCAGUCGGACUCCCGAGCUUCGCGCUUCGCAUCGGAUAAAUCACUGCACCUCUUGGGAGCUCAGGGAAUGAGGGCCUGCGCAGCCGGGCCAAGGGCACCAGGACUUUGUGAGUGGGGAAGGGAGUGGGAAUCCUUUCAACUAUGGCUGAGGCAUUUGCGGGAAACAGUUCAUUCCCCAAUCCCCCUCGCUAUCCCCCACAACUACUGAGCUUCCUCUCCCUCCUCCCGGCACCCCCUCUCCCCUCCCCGCCUCCUUCUCUCUCUGGUUCCUUUGCACACACCAGUCUUCUGCCUACAGGCCCUUCCUCUCCAUCCUGGCCUACGAGACUCCUGCGCACCCCUCAAGAAUCUGCUCUGUCCGGCUCCGGGAAGUCUUGCCACACUUUCCAGUGGCUUAGGGGGCCCCUCCCUGUUCAUCCCCCUCCCGCCUGUUCUUCCCCCUCCCUCUUCUUCCCCCUCCCUCCUGUCUCUGGCUCAUUUCAUGUAGUUCCCAUUUGAUUUCUUCUUGCACACCCUUUUCAGUUUAUGUUCUCUUGCUGUAUUUUAUGAAUGCUCAUUAAGCCACCUUAAAUCCCAUCUGGAAUGACUUGGGAGGGGGCCAAUGCUGCUGCCCUGUGACUCUUGAGAGUUUGAUAUAAGACGACCACAGCCGCCAGCUGCAGCCCACGUCCUGGGACUGGAAGAUCUCAUGAUUAGCUCUCCUGGCUCUGCACCAGCUGCCUAAGAAACGAUCCCCCUGGCUGCCUCGAGGAACGCAGGCCUCUGAGGGUCGGAACUGGACUGGGAGGCUGGUCAGCAGGCUCCUGCUGUCCUCUGUUGGGAGGUGACAGUGGCUAAGACUGGCAUGGAGGCAGCGAGGUGGUGGUAAGUGACAAAUUGUGUGUGUGUGUGUGUGUGUGUCUUUUUUUUUUAAUUUUUAAAUUUUUAUUUAUUUAUUUUUGAGACGGAGUCUUGCUCUGUCACCCAGGCUGGAGUGCAAGAUCUCGGCUCACUGCAACCUUCGCCUCCCGAGUUCAAGCAGUUCUCUUGCCUCAGGCUCCCAAGUAUCUGGGAUUAUAGGCGCUUGCCACCAUGCUCUGCUAAUUUUUGUAUUUUUAGUAGAGACAGGGUUUCACCACCUUGGCCAGGCUGGUCUCCAACUCCUGACCUCAGGUGAUCCGCCCGCCUCAGCCUCCUAAAAUGUUGGGAUUACAGGUGUGAGCCACCGCACCCAACCUAGAUUCUGGGUAUAUUUGUAUAUAUUUUGAGUGCAAAGCUGAUGGGAUUGACUGACAGGUGGGAUGUAUGGGAGUGGGAGAGAAGCCAAGGAAGAGCCAAGGCUGAUUAGUUGGUUUAUUUAUUCGGGUAAAAUUCACAUAAUGUUAAUUUAACCAUUUUAGAGUGUAUUCAGAGGUAUUUAGUACCUUCACAGUGUUGUUCCAUCAUCGCCUCUGUCUCAUCCCCAAACAUUUCCAUCAGCCUGAAAGGAAAACUUUGUAUGCAUUAAACAGUCACUCCUUCUUCCCCCUCCCGGAGCCCCUGACAAGCAUGAAUCUGCUUUCUGUCUCUAUGGAUUUACCUAUUCUGGUAAAUCACUUAGCAUAAUGUCUUCAAAUUUCAGCUAUGUGGUAGCAUGUGUCAAUUUCCUUCCUUUUUAAGGCUGAAUAAUAUUCCACUGUAUGGCUAGACCACAUUUGUUUAGUCAUUCAUCUAUCCAUGGAGAUGGGUGUUGUUUCCAUGUUUUAGCUACUGUGAAUAGUGCUGCUGUGAACAUUCAUGUACAAGUUUCUCUUUGAACACCUGUUUUUUUCCCUUUUAUUUACUUAUUUAUUUAUUUUGAGACAGGGUCUCUUUCUGUUGCACAGGCUGGGGUGCAGUAGCAUGAUCUCAGCUCACUGCAGCCUCCACCUCCCGACCCAAGUGAUUCUUUUUUUUUUUUUUUUUUGAGUUUCGCUCCUGUUGCCCAGGCUGGAGUGCAAUGGCACGAUCUUGGCUCAUCACAACCUCCGCCUCCCAGGUUCAAGCGAUUCUUCUGCUUCAGCCUCCCGAGUAGCUGGGAUUACAGGCAUGUGCCACCACUCCCGGCUAAUUUUGUAUUUUUAGUAGAGACGGGGGUUUCUCUAGGUUGGUCAGGCUGGUCUUGAACUCCUGACCUCAGGUGACCGGCCACUUCAGCCUCCCAAAGUGCUGGGAUUACAGGCGUGAGCCAUCGAGCCCAGCCCCCAGGUGAUUCUUUUACCUCAGCCUCUUGAGAGCUGAAACCAUGGACAUGUGCCAACACACCUGGCUAGUUUUUUAAUUUUUUGUACAGACAGAGUUUUGCCAUGUUGCCCAGGCUGGUCUCGAACCCCUAGGCUCAAGUGAUUGCCCUACCUCAGCCUCCCAAAGUGCUGGGGUUACAGGCUUGAGCCACUGUGCCUGGCCUGAACACCUGUUUUCAAUUCUUUGGGGUAUGUAUACACAGGAGUAAAACUGUAGGAUGGUAUAGUAAUUCCAUGCUUAACUUUGCGAGGAACGGCCAAGCUGUUCUCCACAGCAGCAGUACCAUUUGACAUUCCCAUCAGCAAGGUACAAGGGUUCCUCUUUUUCCAUAUCCCCGCCAACACUUGCUAUUGUCUGUGUGUGUUUUUUUAAAUUAUAGCCAUCCUGGAGGGUGGGCGGUGGUAUCUCAUUGCAGGUUAGAUUUGCAGUCCCUAAUGACUAAUGAUGGUGAGCAUCUUUUCAUGUGCUUCUUGGCCAUUUGUGGAGCCAAGGGGCUUAACCUGAGCAACCAGAGGAAGGAUGGAGCUGCAAAGAAGCAAGAUGGGGAACGUGGAGGGAGAGGAGGUCGGUUUGACAGGCUGAGUUUGAUGUCCCCAAAUGGAGAGGUCCAACUGUUGGAGGCCUGUGAACCAGAGCGACUCCAUGUUGAAUAGGAGCUGUGUAAAAUGAGGCUGAAACCUCCUGAGCUGCAUUCCCAGACAGUUAAGGCACUCUAAGUCACAGGAUGAGAUAGGGGUCAGCACAAGAUACAGGUCCUGAAGACCUUGCUGAUAAAACAGGUUGCACUAAAGAAGCUGGCUAAAACCCACCAAAACCAAGAUGACCACAACAGUGACCUCUGGUUGUCCUCACUGCUCCAAUCCUAUCAGCGCCACGACAGUUUACAGAUGCCAUGGCAAUGUCAGGAAGUUACCCUAUAUGGUCUAAAAAGGGGAGGCAUGAAUAAUCCAUCCCUUGUUUAGUAGAUCAUCAAGAAAUAACCAUAAAAAUAGGCAACCAGCAGCCCUUGGGGCUGCUCUGUCUAUAGAGUAGCCAUUAUUUUAUUCCACGACAUUUUUUUUUUUUUUUGAGACGGAGUCUCGCUGUGUCGCCCAGGCUGGAGUGCAGUGGCGUGAUCUUGGCUCACUGCAACAUCCACCUCCCAGGUUUAAGUGAUUCUCCUGCCUCAGCCCCCCAAGUAGCUGGGAUUACAGGUGCCCGCCACCAUACCUGGCUAAUUUUUCUUUUUUUUCUUGUUUUUUUGAGACGGAGUCUCACUCUGUUGGCCAAGCUGGAGUGCAGUGGCGCGAUCUCGGUUCAUGGCAACUUCCACCUCCCAGGUUCAAGCGAUUCUCCUGCCUCAGCGUCCCGAGUAGCUGGGACUACAGGUGCAUGCCACCAUGCCCAGCUAAUUUUUUGUAUUUUUAGUAGAAACGGAUUUCAACAUGUUGGCCAGGCUGGUUUCACACUCCUGACCUCAGGUGAACUGCCCGCCUCGGUCUCCCAAAGUGCUGGGAUUACAGGCAUGAGCCACUGCCCCCGACCUAAUUUUUGUAUUUUUAGUAGAGAUGGGGUUUCACCAUGUUGGCCAGGCUGGUCUCGAACCCCUGACCUCAGGUGAUCCACCCACCUCGGCCUCCCAAAGUGCUGGGAUUACAGGCGUGAACCACUGCGCCUGGCCAAUUUUUUGUAUUUUUAGUAGAGACGGGGUUUCACCAUGUUGGCCAGGCUGGUCUUGAACUCCUGACGUCGUGAUUCGCCUGCCUCGGCCUCCCAGAGUGCUGGGAUGACAGGCGUGAGCCACCACGCCUGGCCUAUUCCUCUACUUUCUUAAUAAACUUGCUUUCACUUUACGGACUCACCCUGAAUUCUUUCUUGCAUGAGAUCCAAGAACCCUC